AAUUUUUGACAAUGGGGGAAACCCCGUUCUAGCCAUCCCGCGUGUGUGAUGAAGGCCUUCGGGUGGUAAAGUACGUUUGGAAGAGAAGAAAAGGUAUUCCCUAAUACGGGUUACUGCUGACGGCAUCUGCAGAAUAAGCACCGGCCAACUACGUUCCAGCAGCCGCCGUAAUACGUAGGGUGCAAGCGGUAAUCGGAAUUACUGGGCGUAAAGGGUGUGUAGGCGGUUCGGAAAGAAAGAUGUGAAAGCCCAGGGCUCAACCUUGGAACUGCAUUUUUAACUGCCGAGCUAGAGUAUGUCAGAGGGGGGUAGAAUUCCACGUGUAGCAGUGAAAUGCGUAGAUAUGUGGAGGAAUACCGAUGGCGAAGGCAGCCCCCUGGGAUAAUACUGACGCUCAGACACGAAAGCGUGGGGAGCAAACAGG
rnacentral:rRNA from 1 species